UUCUGGCUCUAAAUACUAUGAGA
rnacentral:miRNA from 1 species